rnacentral:lncRNA from 1 species
AGUCGGAGUAAGAAUGCCUGCAGAGACCUGGACCAGAGUGGGCAGAAUGGAGAUGGAGUCUCACUCUGCCGCCCGAGCUGGAGUACAGUGGUGUGAUCUCGGCUCACUGCAACCUCCACCACCUGGGUUCAAGCGAUUCUCCUGUCUCAGCUUCCCGAAUAGCUGGGACAACAGGGCCUAAAUAGUGUUCCUUGGAGAGAAAAUUACCCUGGGAAUGAAUAAACAAGAGCAAUGCAAAUGUUUCUUUUACAUUAGAUUCUUGCAGCCCUGGAAAUCCUAAAUAAUAAUCAUGGCAAUACUACAUUUAUAAGACUAAAAGAUAGGAACUCAAGAAAAAUUUGGUCAUAGCAGUUGGUGAAAAAGUGAAUUUAAGAGAAGUGACAAAAAGAACUACUUGGG